rnacentral:sRNA from 1 species
UCAAUCACAGAACACUUUCCUACAGACAGUGGACAAGCCUGGUCAAUUUUCAUCAUAGUUCUUCAAGCUGCCACUACCAAACAAUGGAGAUAGCCCCAAAAGGAAACCUAUUGGCCAGCCCUGGUGUAGUCCAACCCCAUCUUUUAUCUGAUGGGGAAACUAGGUCUGGAGACAAAAGUGAUUUAACCAAGUUCAUGGAAAAGUCGUAGAGAAUCUAAAACGUGAUGCUCUUCUUCCAUACCAUGCCGUCAGCCCCUACGGGGUCCCAGGCUACGUGGUCCUGGACCUGAUGGAAAGCGACCUGCACCAGAUUAUCCACUCCUCACAGCCCCUCACACUGGAACACGUGCGCUACUUCCUGUACCAACUGCUGCGGGGCCUGAAGUACAUGCACUCGGCUCAGGUCAUCCACCGUGACCUCAAGCCCUCCAACCUAUUGGUGAAUGAGAACUGUGAGCUCAAGAUUGGUGACUUUGGUAUGGCUCGUGGCCUGUGCACCUCGCCCGCUGAACAUCAGUACUUCAUGACUGAGUAUGUGGCCACGCGCUGGUACCGUGCGCCCGAGCUCAUGCUCUCUUUGCAUGAGUAUACACAGGCUAUUGACCUCUGGUCUGUGGGCUGCAUCUUUGGUGAGAUGCUGGCCCGGCGCCAGCUCUUCCCAGGCAAAAACUACGUACACCAGCUACAGCUCAUCAUGAUGGUGCUGGGUACCCCAUCACCAGCCGUGAUUCAGGCUGUGGGGGCUGAGAGGGUGCGGGCCUAUAUCCAGAGCUUGC